UUGCAGUUUGUGUUUGAGGGCGCCUUUUCAUGUUUAGAGUCACUUUUUAAACCAACAAAGCCGGCACUGUUAGCAUCUGUCUGUGUGUGUCUGUGUGAGGUCGCCAGGGGCACGUGGCUGUGUUAAAUACAACUGCUGCGUCAGGAAGUGAAAGGUCAGCAUUUGUUGGCGUGGUGGGACGGAUGAAACCGUAUGAUCACUUCAUUGAGGGGCAAGCCGUCACUCACACAUGGACCGUUGGGUGUGAGGAAGUUAACCUUUUUAUGACACGUACCGGUGUGGGGUGACACAUCUGUACAUAUAGAAGCAUAGACUUACAAAAUGUCUAUUUAGAUUGAAUGCAAAUUAUUAGCAGUUGUUGUGGUAGUAAAAAGAAAAGAUCUACAUUGAAAACCCCAAUAGGGAAAAUGAAUGAGCUUAACAUUUAAAGCACCUGUAAGAGAUUUUUGACGUUUACGAAAUGGAUUGAAAUUCAUACAGCAACCUUCCUAUGAUAUACAAAAGUAAAGCAAACAAGCCCUUUAGUGACAACAUUGAGGAUUUUUAAAUUGCUAUCUAUCGUACCUGAAACUGGUGCGAGGGGGUUGUUGUCAGUGGAGUGAUUGUAAAUUUUUCUUAUUGAAUAUUAACACAAAAAAAAAUACAAUGACCAGGAUAAGAGUUUUUACCCAAAGAAAAUAUUUAACCAUGUGGAAGAGAAGAUAAGCAAAGACCGAAAUUGACCCAAGCUGAAAGUUCCUCACUGGAGCUUUAAUUCAUACAUCAAAUGAAUGAAUCUGUAUUAAAGCUGCAGCGAUACACUGAUAACGGCUUAAAUGUAGGCAACACUAAGGAGGCCUCUGCUGCUGAGAAAACUAUCAUGAAAAAUUCAAUAAGAAAUCUUCAAUAAGUUUCAAGGAAUCAAAUUAAAUCUGUUUCUUUGUCUAAAAUAAUAAAAGAUUUUUAAGGAACUUAAGGAAUAAGUACAAGAUUUGUGGCUGCAUGGUCAAGGAUGAUAACUGAUCAAUAAGAAUGCAAGUACAACACUCAUUGUUUUUAUCAUAUUGGAAGGGAUUAAAGCUCUACAUGCUUUAGUAUGACAAAAAAAAGUUUUGCUGAGUUUUUGACAGUAGAAAGUGCCAGCUUUUUUGGAUAUUUUAUGUGGAAACUGUAAAAAAGAGUAAUUUCUUCAACUGCUUGGUUGACACCUACCCCCUCACACCAAUUUCUGGCAUUAAUAAAUUGCAAUAUGUAAUCUUAUCAGCCUUAUCCCUGAUGGUCUUGGUUGUUUUUGGAUACCAUGAAAAGGCAUCAGAUGAAUUUGUUUCAUGUUCCUUAAAAAUGAAAAUAAAAAUCUUCAAAGGAGCUUUAACUGAAUGAGUGUCAUUUGUGAUUUUAAAAAGCUUUUAAUGAUCUCCCUGAAGGAAAUUCAGAGUUUGCAGUGGCACAAGAGCUAAAAAGAAGUCAAUUAGCCCAUAAAAGAAGCAGAACAUUGAGAAUUUAUAGUAAGUGUUCAGCUUGUUACAAUAAAUGGGUCAGAAUAAACAUUCAAAAGCUACACAGACAUAGUUUAAUUUAAGUUACAAGUCAAACAGACCAAAAGUGCACCCAUGUUUUAUCAAUGAAAUGAGAGGUUUCUAUAAAAUGACUGAAAAUGUUAAAUCAUGGCAAACAGGCUCAAGACAGGCCUCCAGACUUCUAUCUGAACUCUGUGUUGAAUUUCUGUUUUUGUUUCAUGAAGGUUAAAUGUGCAGCGGACACUUCCCCCUCAUAAUUCAUAACCUUUGACUCCUCUGUGCCCCUGUGUUUAAGUGAGUGCAGCAGAGUGAGGAUGCCUCCUUGUGGCCAUGUGUGCCAGCACAAAAACAACUAAAUAGGUCAUGGAGAGAAGUAACAUGAAGUGACUGACAAGACCUUAAAAAAUUAAUCUGGUCUUGACUACAUCAAAAAUAGGUUUCAAAGUCAUACAAGUAUGUUUUUUAGAUUGCACAGAGGUUUAGGAGACUUUUCUUGUAACAGCUGGCAAAUCUAGACUUUCAACCUGUUGCUGGUUUUAAUGUUAGAGUAAGAACCAAUGGUCAUACAUCCAGCUUCUACUACAUGCCUGGAUUUAUUUGUAGUUUUGUAGCAGCACUUGUGAUUAUAUUCCAUCCAAAAUCCAAGGGGAGUAAGCGACAAAUUCAUCACGACAAAAUGUUAAAAAAUUCGUCAAGGCUAAUUGAACUCAAUUUACGGGAGGUCAACAUAAAUAUGCAGAUGAUGCCUACAGCGUCUUCAUGGAGAAAAGAUUGAUGUAAGUUUGCAACAGAAUAGUUUUCUUAUGAAUAACAAACAGAAAAAGGCCUGUGGUGCAUGAGUUAAAGUUGCUUGAUGUUCACACUCUUAAUAUGUCUGUCUAUGGUGUUGGUAUACUGUUUUUGGAUACUACAAACAGAAGAAAGGUUUUUCCCUGUAUUAUCAUAAGCUUUCAGAAACAAGGAAAAAUAUAGAUGUUGGUUCAAAUAUUUGUUUUACAUUAGACUAAGUUAUAAAAAUCCGGGAGGCCUUUUGCAACCAUUUUGUUUCAUUAAAAAAGUUUAUUAGAAUUAAAAAUUAUAAACAGCAGAAGCAGAGAUUUAGUCAGUCAUCUGCUCAAGUUGUAUCCCAUCAUACUCAGCAGAAAAACUUGUUUGUUCCUCUGCGUUUCUGCCAGAGAUUGGAGUCAAACAUGUGCUUUAUAAAUAGAAAAGGUUUGUACCAGAGCCUGUAUUUUUUCAGACAAACUUUACCAGAUCAGGACAAUAAUUCUGAAACCUGAUGAAUAAUGCUUGGUGUGACUUUAUUUUGCCCACACUAUAUUCCGCACCUCCACAUAUACUCACUGCAGGGUGUACUGACGCGGAGAGAAACGUUAUGACAAAAUCGUAUUUAAAGAAAAGUAAGUUUUACCUUCUUCGUGAUGUGUGGAAAUCCCCUCAAGGUGUGUCAAUAUUCUACAAACAAUUUUAGAUGUGGGUUUCCUGCUUGGCUGGUACACGUGUAAAAAUAGCAGUGUGUCUUUACAUUCAAAAGAGCAGAAUAAAGUUUAUGUUGCAUAGAAAAAUAAAGGAGUAUGGGAAUGAUUUUCUAUGUUUAUAUUGAGCUCUAACUCAAAUAAGCAGCCAGAGAUGAGACUAGAAGCUUGUUUUUUUUGCAAGUUAAUUUAGGUCAAAUAUUUUCUUUGCCAUAUAAAUAUAUGAAAUACAACUUGCACACAUUUAAGAUAUUGAUAGUAUUUAUUUUAAAGGGGAAAACACCUUAGUGCUGAGCUUUUCUCCUCUUAUUUCUACACGUAGAGUGCAGUCAUGUAUUUCUUUGAUAAGCCCUCUAAAUGAGGUAUCUUUCCUCCAUGUGUGAUUGCCAUUAAAUUCCUGUAACUCACGAGCUUUCAUUCAUUAAGCUGCAUUCCCCUUCUUCUCCAACCCUUCCCCCAUUUUACUGCCUGGCAGUAUUUGGAAGAGAAAUGGACGACUUCCCCACCAAACGGCUCCCAGAGAGAGUGGGUGUGUUAGCCAGACAUCUUGUUACUCAAUAACGACAGCGUGAUAACAAACGAGGCCAAAGAAACACACAUUAUGAACAUAAAGAGCUGUAUUAUUAAAAAGAAACACAGCAGAGGUUGUUACAGCGGUUGAAAUACGCCUCAAAUACGGGAACCAUAUUCUACAUCCGCAGCUACGAAAACAGAAAAUACAAAAGUUACACGAAUUAAAUCCUCAACUGUUUCUUUUUUUUUUCAAGUGAAAGUAUUAGCUUUCGAUUUAUAGGAAAAUACAGAUAUCGGUAAUCUGCGAAGUACAACCCAUUCUGCAGCAAUGUAUCCUCUCCUAUUGCAAGCUGCCAUUUCUACCUCCCCUCGACUGUAGC